UUUUCUGGAAUAGAGAAAUUAAAAUUUACUGGUUAGAUAGACGCGUUUUGAGGCAGAUUGAAUCAUAGAUAGUCACUGAAGAUGGCAGAAAUUCGGAGUCAACUCCGAUCUGACUCUGAAAACUUCGGAACCAUCUCCGGAAGGUAGGCCCGACCAACAUUUUUUUGGAGUCGUCCGGAGUCGUAGUUGGAGUCAUCCAGAGUAGGACUCGUCCGGAGACGUCCAGAGUCGUAGUCGUCUGGAGUCAUAGACGUCCAGAGUCGAAAUCGGCCGGAAUUGGAGUCGAUGGGAUUAGAUCAAAAUCAGCCAGAAUCGAACGGAGUUGACGGGACUGUCGGAGCCGAAGACGGCCGUUGCUAGGACCCUGUCGCAAAGCAUUGCUGCCGUCGCUACGCCGGGCCGGGCGACGCCGGGCGGUAUUAGAAGUUCCGAGUUUUACCAGAGCUUCGACUAACAAUAACCGAAGUCAAAACGGAGUUGUCGGUGCACUCUAGAGAGCACAUAACUAAAACUGGAGUCGUUGUAAGCUUGUCCUACAACGGACUUCAAGGUAUGAAAAUGUCACAACCUCACAAACCGUUCGAACAUUUCUUCCUCGAUUUUGCAAGUAGACCCCAGAGGCCCAGAGCCGACAGGCCAGUGUGGCAAAGAACUGAAAUAGGCCUAAACAUUUUUCCAACCGGCACCAACAACAUACCAACCAACUUUCCACAGCCACCAUCGCACGCGCGUGUUCAACUAUGGAGGUCAUACACACACACACUGCACGAAAACCGCAGCCCCGGCCGUUCUCGACGAGUCUGAAGCGCUUGGCAGUUCAAUGUUCUGCAUCUAGUGCACAACACCGCACACACCGCGCUUUGCACCGAUUGCAUGCGCAAACGAAUGCACCCGAUUGGCACAAGUGCAGCCAGUUAGCAUAAGGAGAAACGCAACAUCGUUCGAGGGCAACAACAAGGCUCGAUCGAUAAAGCGCGCUCUGGCAAUCGUGAAUCGAUCAAAUAUAUGAAGCUCUUUCAUGCAGGUGCGGGGGAAUUAACUAAACUUCUCCGAUCCUUUUGCUGUGUGUGCGGCCUCCUGCUGAGUGAUAUCUGACCACACGAUAAGGAGCCCAAUUCGUCGACAUUAAACGCCAUCAUGCCAUGCGACGCGAGUUCCUUCUCAACGUCCCCGUGGAGAAAAUCAAUAUGUAAAGCAGAGACGACUGGCACAAGUGGGCAAUGCGCAUGUUUGACAGUUCGAACGAACCCUUGACUCCCCCCUUCGUCGUCC